rnacentral:RNase_P_RNA from 1 species
CAACCGCUCUGAACAAUCGCGCAAUAUCAUAUCGAAAGAUCAUAUUGUGAGGAAAGUCCGGGCUCCACAGAGCAGGAUAACGGAUAACGUCCGCCGAAGGCAACUUUAGGGCUAGUGCAACAGAAAUAAACCGCCAUGCAAAUGGCAAGGAUGGAAAGGCGAGGUAAGAGCUCACCGGCACAUAGGCGACUAUGUGGCCAUGUAAACCCUAUCCGGAGCAACACCGUAAUAUUGGACAUAUAUGCUUGCUCGGCAGUCCAGCGAGGUGGCAGAGAAGUAUAUGGCAACAUAUGCUCAAGAUAGAUGAUUGUUCACGACAGAACCCGGCUUACAGGAGCGGUUGACUU